UCUCCUUCACCUUCCACCUUAAAAUUCCAAACCCAUUUCCUUAAAAAUUCCAAAGCCAUUUUCGAAAUCCUUCCUCCUUCAUUUUUGGUUUCAACAUUCUUGAAACAAGAACUGUAAAACCUUCUUUCUGCUUCUGAUAAUUUCAAAUGCCAACAAGCAAGAUUCAUUCUCAACUCUUGCUCUUGAUUCUUGAUGAAACAGGUCCUUCAUCCUCUUCUUGAUUCAAACUCGUUCCUUCCCUUUUCCUUCUUUUCUGAGCAACAAAAAUCGGACAGCAAACCCAACAUUCAUUGAGGUCACGAACACCACUUAUCACAGUGGUUCUGCAACCCUAAUCGGCGUCCCCUCUCUUGAUUCUAGCAUUGGAGUUUCUGAAAUCUGCCGCAGUCUCGAACAAUAUUCGCAAUUUCGAACCACAAUCGCAACUUUCAAUUUUCUGAUUUUGUCGCCUAUCAAGAUUGGAGGCGACGUCAUCGAGGAACCUUUCUAGCUGAUAGCUGCGAAUCGAACCUGACUCUUUGAAGCGUCGUCUUUG